rnacentral:rRNA from 1 species
UUCGGGAUAAGCCUGGGAAACUGGGUCUAAUACCGGAUACGACCACCUGGCGCAUGCCAUGGUGGUGGAAAGCUUUAUGCGGUUUUGGAUGGACUCGCGGCCUAUCAGCUUGUUGGUGGGGUAAUGGCCCACCAAGGCGACGACGGGUAGCCGGCCUGAGAGGGUGACCGGCCACACUGGGACUGAGACACGGCCCAGACUCCUACGGGAGGCAGCAGUGGGGAAUAUUGCACAAUGGGCGAAAGCCUGAUGCAGCGACGCCGCGUGAGGGAUGACGGCCUUCGGGUUGUAAACCUCUUUCAGCAGGGAAGAAGCGAAAGUGACGGUACCUGCAGAAGAAGCGCCGGCUAACUACGUGCCAGCAGCCGCGGUAAUACGUAGGGCGCAAGCGUUAUCCGGAAUUAUUGGGCGUAAAGAGCUCGUAGGCGGUUUGUCGCGUCUGCUGUGAAAGCCCGGGGCUCAACCCCGGGUCUGCAGUGGGUACGGGCAGACUAGAGUGCAGUAGGGGAGACUGGAAUUCCUGGUGUAGCGGUGAAAUGCGCAGAUAUCAGGAGGAACACCGAUGGCGAAGGCAGGUCUCUGGGCUGUAACUGACGCUGAGGAGCGAAAGCAUGGGGAGCGAACAGGAUUAGAUACCCUGGUAGUCCAUGCCGUAAACGUUGGGCACUAGGUGUGGGGGACAUUCCACGUUUUCCGCGCCGUAGCUAACGCAUUAAGUGCCCCGCCUGGGGAGUACGGCCGCAAGGCUAAAACUCAAAGGAAUUGACGGGGGCCCGCACAAGCGGCGGAGCAUGCGGAUUAAUUCGAUGCAACGCGAAGAACCUUACCAAGGCUUGACAUGAACCGGAAAGGCCUGGAAACAGGUCCCCCACUUGUGGCCGGUUUACAGGUGGUGCAUGGUUGUCGUCAGCUCGUGUCGUGAGAUGUUGGGUUAAGUCCCGCAACGAGCGCAACCCUCGUUCUAUGUUGCCAGCGCGUUAUGGCGGGGACUCAUAGGAGACUGCCGGGGUCAACUCGGAGGAAGGUGGGGACGACGUCAAAUCAUCAUGCCCCUUAUGUCUUGGGCUUCACGCAUGCUACAAUGGCCGGUACAAAGGGUUGCGAUACUGUGAGGUGGAGCUAAUCCCAAAAAGCCGGUCUCAGUUCGGAUUGAGGUCUGCAA